rnacentral:rRNA from 1 species
UGAGUAACGCGUGGGAAUCUACCUUUUGCUACGGAAUAACUCAGGGAAACUUGUGCUAAUACCGUAUGUGCCCUUUUGGGGAAAGAUUUAUCGGCAAAGGAUGAGCCCGCGUUGGAUUAGCUACUUGGUGAGGUAAAGGCUCACCAAGGCGACGAUCCAUAGCUGGUCUGAGAGGAUGAUCAGCCACACUGGGACUGAGACACGGCCCAGACUCCUACGGGAGGCAGCAAUGGGGAAUAUUGCACAAUGGGCGCAAGCCUGAUCCAGCCAUGCCGCGUGAGUGAUGAAGGCCCUAGGGUUGUAAAGCUCUUUCACCGGUGAAGAUAAUGACGGUAACCGGAGAAGAAGCCCCGGCUAACUUCGUGCCAGCAGCCGC